rnacentral:rRNA from 1 species
GGUUAAGUCCGAUACGAGCGCGAACCCUUGUCCUUAGUUACCAGCACGUUAUGGUGGGCACUCUAAGGAGACUGCCGGUGACAAACCGGAGGAAGGUGGGGAUGACGUCAAGUCAUCAUGGCCCUUACGGCCUGGGCUACACACGUGCUACAAUGGUCGGUACAAAGGGUUGCCAAGCCGCGAGGUGGAGCUAAUCCCAUAAAACCGAUCGUAGUCCGGAUCGCAGUCUGCAACUCGACUGCGUGAAGUCGGAAUCGCUAGUAAUCGUGAAUCAGAAUGUCACGGUGAAUACGUUCCCGGGCCUU